rnacentral:lncRNA from 1 species
CCUGACUGAAUUAAUAAAAUGUCAAAUUGAAACUUAUACAACAACUGUUAACUGAAAUUUAUGAAUGGUACUGACUUGGAGUUUAUUCCAAAAUCAAAAAAAUUCUGUGAACAAUUAACAGUCUAAGUAAAUGUGUGAAAGGCAGGUGAUAUCCUAUGAUUAGGCAGUGAUAAUUAUGUAUAUCUAAUAAGUUAGCCAAAUAGAAGUUGUGUAAUUAGUACUGCUAUUGAGGUAGCAAGAGAAAAUUUUCAUAAACAUUAUGAUGCAACAAUAGAUAACAAUGUUUUUUUAUAAAAAUUCAGUUUUGUUUUGCACAUUCAUGUUAUUCUAGUAUUUUAAAGUAUUUUUUUAUAUAUAAAUGACAUCAGAGUAACCAAUCAGAAUCUGGACACAAUGAAAUAUUCUAAAAUGUAUUAUUGCUAUUUCUUAACUUUUCCUUUUGAUCUUUCUGUGUGAUCGUUUUCUAUCUCAAGGUACUUGACUGAGAUUGGUUUAUCUCAUCAUAGUGAAAUUGUGACGAUACCAUUUAUAUUACCCAGUAAGAUAGUGAUGAUAUCAUUUACAUUACCCAGUGAAAUUGUGAUGAUAUCAUUUAUAUUACCUAAUGAGAUAGUGAUGAUAUCAUUUAUAUUAUCCAGUGAGAUAGUGAUGAUAUCAUUUAUAUUAUCCAGUGAGAUAGUGAUGAUACCCAUGAUAUCAUUUAUAUUCCCCAGGUAAGAUAUACAGAUUAUCUAUGUUUUUUCAAGCUUGAGGAAGUUUCUUGGUUACAUCUCAUAUCAGGGCUAUCACCCUUGCCCUUCAUUGAGAUUGUAGCAGAGAAACUCCCUCUUCUUUUCGAACCAUAGAUAAUUUAAUUUAUCACUUUAUGAAUACUAUUGUCUUUCUAUAAGUUUGCAAUAACAGAAUUUCAUCUUUUUCUUUAAUUGUUAUGAUGUCAAUCUAUUUAGACCUGUUUAUGAGUUGAAAGACAAAGAUAAAAUACAUUUAGCAGUUCAUUUAUAUAACUAACCAAAAGAGGUGUUCAAAUUAUGGUAGUCCUCAUUUGUACAUACAGCUUCUUAUCUAUUUAAUCAUGCAUAUUUUUAAACAUUCUAAUUCAAUAUUUAACUUAGGAUCCAAAGAGAUAUUUAUAAAGACAAACAAAAUGUUUUCACAUAGCAUCAACGAUACCAAUUCUUAAAUAAGUAAUUCAGUCUUGAAACAAGAAAAGAAAAACAGUAGCACCAUUAAAAAGAAAGCUUAACAACUUAACAGAAACAUAAAGAAACAUUAACAAAUGAAACCCUUAUUUUACAAAUGUACUGUAUAAAAGGCGAGCAUAGUAUAAGAUUAAAACAAUAGGUGCAUAUUAACUUGGAGCACAUACAACAAUAGUGCUAAAAA